rnacentral:pre_miRNA from 13 species
CCACAGAAUGCGUCGAAUAUCAAAAUCAUGUCAAAAUAUGGAUAGAUUUUGUAUGAGACGCAUUUCCGUGGC